GAACGCAGCUAAAUGCGAUACGCAAUGCGAAUUGCAGAAUACCGCGAGUCAUCAGAUCUUCGAACGCAACUGGCGCCGAGGGGAUAUCCUCUCAGCAUGUUUGCUUCAGUGUGUUUAACUCAUCACGCAACCUAAAUGCAAUUGAACCGUCAAAAAGUUCUCUUGCCAAAAUAGGAUAAAGCGCCGAAGUUCGCAUACAUCGGCCAACGAAGCGGUCACUACUCGUUAGUGAUUUCGUUGGGCAAAACCGACGCGAAAUCUUCAAAACAAGCUUUA
rnacentral:misc_RNA from 1 species